GACGAACGCUGGCGGCGUGCUUAACACAUGCAAGUCGAACGGAAAGGCCUCUUUCGGGGGGUACUCGAGUGGCGAACGGGUGAGUAACACGUGAGUAACCUGCCCUUGACUUUGGGAUAACUUCAGGAAACUGGGGCUAAUACCGGAUAGGAGCUCCUGCUGCAUGGUGGGGGUUGGAAAGUUUCGGCGGUUGGGGAUGGACUCGCGGUUUAUCAGCUUGUUGGUGGGGUAGUGGCUUACCAAGGCGUUGACGGGUAGCCGGCCUGAGAGGGUGACCGGCCACAUUGGGACUUAGAUACGGCCCAGACUCCUACGGGAGGCAGCAGUGGGGAAUAUUGCACAAUGGGUGGAAGCCUGAUGCAGCAACGCCGUGUGCGGGAUGACGGCCUUCGGGUUGUAAACCGCUUUCGCUCAUGACGAAGCUUUGUGUGACGGUAGUGGGUAAAGAAGCACCGGCUAACUACGUG
rnacentral:rRNA from 1 species